rnacentral:rRNA from 1 species
GAUGAACGCUGGCGGCGUGCCUAAUACAUGCAAGUCGAGCGAACAGACGAGGAGCUUGCUCCUUCGACGUUAGCGGCGGACGGGUGAGUAACACGUAGGUAACCUACCUAUAAGACUGGGAUAACUUCGGGAAACCGGAGCUAAUACCGGAUAAUAUUUCGAACCGCAUGGUUCGAUAGUGAAAGAUGGCUUUGCUAUCACUUAUAGAUGGACCUGCGCCGUAUUAGCUAGUUGGUAAGGUAACGGCUUACCAAGGCAACGAUACGUAGCCGACCUGAGAGGGGGUGCCGCCCCACUGGACCGGAGACCCGGUCCAACCCCCUAGGGGAGGCAGCGGUGGGGAAUUUUCCGAAAGGGGCGAAAGCCUAGCGGGGCAACGCCGCGUGGGGGAUAGAGGUCUUCGGUUCGUAAACCUUUUUUUUUAGGGAAAAAAAAACGUGUAAGUAACUGUGACCGUUUUGCCGGUCCCUAUUCAGAAACCCCCGGCAAACUCCGU